rnacentral:sRNA from 1 species
ACACCGAAAGGAGGUGAUCCGGAAGAUGCAUUCAGUCCGGACAAGUGAGGUGGCUGCGGGCUAACGGCCUGCCGCUCUCAGCAGUACUCGGCCGGUCGACGGCCGAAAUCCCAAGCAGUCACCCGACCCGCGAACCGCCGGUAUGUCCGGCCGGCUCUCUCCCCGGAGAGACCAUGGUUCGCGGGUCGUCUGCG